rnacentral:misc_RNA from 1 species
GAUGAAGAACGUAGCGAAAUGCGAUAAGUAAUGUGAAUUGCAGAAUUCAGUGAAUCAUCGAAUCUUUGAACGCACAUUGCGCCCCCUGGUAUUCCGGGGGGCAUGCCUGUUCGAGCGUCAUUUCACCACUCAAGCCUCGCUUGGUAUUGGGCAACGCGGUCCGCCGCGUGCCUCAAAUCGACCGGCUGGGUCUUCUGUCCCCUAAGCGUUGUGGAAACUAUUCGCUAAAGGGUGUUCGGGAGGCUACGCCGUAAAACAGCCCCAUUUCUAAGGUUGACCUCGGAUCAGGUAGGGAUACCCGCUGAACUUAAGCAUAUCAAUAAGCGGAGGA